AGAGUUUGAUCCUGGCUCAGGACGAACGCUGGCGGCGUGCUUAACACAUGCAAGUCGAACGAGAGCGUAGAGAAAGCUUGCUUUUUCUACAAUCUAGUGGCAAACGGGUGAGUAACGCGUAAACAACCUGCCCUACGGAUGGGGACAACAGCUGGAAACGGCUGCUAAUACCGAAUACGUUCCGAAAGUCGCAUGACUGUCGGAAGAAAGGAUGGCCUCUAUUUAUAAGCUAUCGCCGGAGGAGGGGUUUGCGUCUGAUUAGCUAGUUGGAGGGGUAACGGCCCACCAAGGCGACGAUCAGUAGCCGGUCUGAGAGGAUGAACGGCCACAUUGGAACUGAGACACGGUCCAGACUCCUACGGGAGGCAGCAGUGGGGAAUCUUCCGCAAUGGGCGAAAGCCUGACGGAGCAACGCCGCGUGAGUGAAGACGGCCUUCGGGUUGUAAAGCUCUGUUAUAGGGGACGAACGGCCGGGUAGCGAAGAGGUAGCCGGCAUGACGGUACCGUAAGAGAAAGCCACGGCUAACUACGUGCCAGCAGCCGCGGUAAUACGUAGGUGGCAAGCGUUGUCCGGAAUUAUUGGGCGUAAAGGGCGCGCAGGCGGCUUCUUAAGUCUGUCUUAAAAGUGCGGGGCUUAACCCCGUGAUGGGAUGGAAACUGGGAAGCUCAGAGUAUCGGAGAGGAAAGCGGAAUUCCUAGUGUAGCGGUGAAAUGCGUAGAUAUUAGGAGGAACACCAGUGGCGAAAGCGGCUUUCUGGACGAAAACUGACGCUGAGGCGCGAAAGCCAGGGGAGCGAACGGGAUUAGAUACCCCGGUAGUCCUGGCCGUAAACGAUGGGUACUAGGU
rnacentral:rRNA from 1 species